rnacentral:rRNA from 1 species
AAUGAACGCUGGCGGCAUGCCUUACACAUGCAAGUCGAACGGUAACGGGCCUUCGGGUGCCGACGAGUGGCGAACGGGUGAGUAAUACAUCGGAACGUGCCCGAUCGUGGGGGAUAACGAGGCGAAAGCUUUGCUAAUACCGCAUACGAUCUACGGAUGAAAGCCGGGGACCGCAAGGCCUUGCGCGGACGGAGCGGCCGAUGGCAGAUUAGGUAGUUGGUGGGAUAAAAGCUUACCAAGCCGACGAUCUGUAGCUGGUCUGAGAGGAUGAUCAGCCACACUGGGACUGAGACACGGCCCAGACUCCUACGGGAGGCAGCAGUGGGGAAUUUUGGACAAUGGGCGCAAGCCUGAUCCAGCCAUGCCGCGUGCAGGAUGAAGGCCUUCGGGUUGUAAACUGCUUUUGUACGGGACGAAAAGCCUUCUUUUAAUACAGGAGGGUCAUGACGGUACCGUAAGAAUAAGCACCGGCUAACUACGUG